GCCAUAUCAUUUUGAAACACUAGCUCCCGGACGAUCACCGAUUUUAAGCAACGUUGAACCUGGUCAGUACUUAGAUGGGUGACCACUUGGGAAUAUCAGGUAUUGUAAG